GCAGUCGCGGCCGAGUGGUUAAGGCGAUGGCCUAGAAAUCCACUGGGGUCUCCCCGCGCAGGUUCGAAUCCUCUCGACUGCG
rnacentral:tRNA from 1 species